CGCGGGCGGGUUGCUUAGUAGUCUAAUUCCUCAAUAUCUACGCCUCUUGAUGUGAAUUAGUGACCCUUGAACCGGCUCUAAUUCAUGCCAAGUGAGUCCCUACGGCCCUUGAACCGGAGUAGGAAUACCAUGAAAGGGAAUUUCGGUCCUUGAGCCUUGAACCGCCUUGAAUACGACUACCGCCAAAAUAGGAAAUAUGCAUCUAUAUUAGAUUAGCUUCCGACAUAUGAGAUUUGGGUGAAGGAACUUCCCUAACACCCGGCAUUCUCAUUUUUAUUGUUUACAUUUCACUUUUCUUUUUUUAUUGCUUUACAUUUCAUUAUUAUUUGUUAAGUUAGAAUCAACCCCCAAACACUAAACCCUUCCACUCAUUUGUGCAUAUCCAUCACUAGGCUCUUAGUUUUGAUUAGGCUUUAGUGAAAAUCAAAGCCGAGCAUUGCUAAGGCUUGGUGCCUUAGAUUAGUUUUAUUUUAUUUUAUUUGUUUGCUACGUGUCUUUAUUUCUAAUUAUCCAAGGAUUGUGGGUUAGCCACUAAUCCCCGUGGUACGAUAACUUUGGGCAUUAUACUUCCCUAUCUUGACAACGAUACGUACGCUUGCGUAAAUGUGUAUCAAGUCAAUGGCGCCGUUGCCGGGGAUCGAACCCGGG
rnacentral:lncRNA from 1 species